AACGAACGCUGGCGGCGUGCUUAACACAUGCAAGUCGAGCGAUGAAGCUCCUUCGGGAGUGGAUUAGCGGCGGACGGGUGAGUAACACGUGGGUAACCUGCCUCAUAGAGGGGAAUAGCCUUUCGAAAGGAAGAUUAAUACCGCAUAAGAUUGUAGUUUCGCAUGAAACAGCAAUUAAAGGAGUAAUCCGCUAUGAGAUGGACCCGCGUCGCAUUAGCUAGUUGGUGAGGUAACGGCUCACCAAGGCGACGAUGCGUAGCCGACCUGAGAGGGUGAUCGGCCACAUUGGGACUGAGACACGGCCCAGGCUCCUACGGGAGGCAGCAGUGGGGAAUAUUGCACAAUGGGGGAAACCCUGAUGCAGCAACGCCGCGUGAGUGAUGACGGUCUUCGGAUUGUAAAGCUCUGUCUUCAGGGACGAUAAUGACGGUACCUGAGGAGGAAGCCACGGCUAACUACGUGCCAGCCGCCGCGGUAAAAC
rnacentral:rRNA from 1 species